rnacentral:rRNA from 1 species
AACGAACGCUGGCGGCAGGCCUCAAACAUGCAAGUCUAGGGGGUGUAGCAAUACAUCACCGGCGGACGGGUGCGUAACGCGUGGGAAUAUACCUAUUGGUUCGGAACAACUGAGGGAAACUUCAGCUAAUACCGAAUGUGCCCGUAAGGGGAAAGAUUUAUCGCCAAUGGAUUAGCCCGCGUAGGAUUAGCUAGUUGGUG